GUGGGGAAUAUUGGACAAUGGGCGAAAGCCUGAUCCAGCCAUGCCGCGUGUGUGAAGAAGGUCUUCGGAUUGUAAAGCACUUUAAGUUGGGAGGAAGGGCAUUAACCUAAUACGUUAGUGUUUUGACGUUACCGACAGAAUAAGCACCGGCUAACUUCGUGCCAGCAGCCGCGGUAAUACGAAGGGUGCAAGCGUUAAUCGGAAUUACUGGGCGUAAAGCGCGCGUAGGUGGUUCAGUAAGUUGGAUGUGAAAUCCCCGGGCUCAACCUGGGAACUGCAUCCAAAACUGCUGAGCUAGAGUACGGUAGAGGGUGGUGGAAUUUCCUGUGUAGCGGUGAAAUGCGUAGAUAUAGGAAGGAACACCAGUGGCGAAGGCGACCACCUGGACUGAUACUGACACUGAGGUGCGAAAGCGUGGGGAGCAAACAGGAUUAGAUACCCCGGUAGUCC
rnacentral:rRNA from 1 species